UUGCACUCUUAAACCUCUUUCUUGCUUUUCUUUUAAGUUUGAGAGACAAAAAAGAGUGCGAGACUAUCUGUGAAUUCCAAGGUUGUUGGCAUUGCUUGUUUCCAACCAUUUCACCUCACAUACAAGA